ensembl:lncRNA novel transcipt
UAAAUACAGUUUGACUCUACUGCAUCUUAUCUAUCUUUCUAGUGAUGGACACCUGUGAUACUGCCAAUUUCUCCACUUCACUGCUGCCAUAGACAAUGUAGUGGCUUUCACUGUAUAGAAGAUAUCCUGUUGGUUGGAAAGAGAAGCCUUGGUGUCAAUGGCCCUGAAGGCAGAAUUAUAGCACCUCCAUCAGAAGGGAUGGACUGAUAAACCCUGAAAAAAUUCAGGAGCCUGCCUGCUAAGUGUUUUGGAACUAUGUGGCACAUUAACAAUGCUCAGUCUUCCUGGAAGUGAAGGAAGAGCUGUUGUCUCUUUAGCAUCCCACCACAGAAACACAGGCCUAGCACCUUAUUGGUCUCUAUGGAGUCUAAUAUUAGAGAUAGUAUAUGCCUUACUUGAGCAUUACACUUUGUCCUUUAUAUAGACUAUCCCACAAACCAGUUAUUAUAAGUGGUUCUGUGCAUUAUAAGUGGUUCUGUGAUUGCUGUGAAGCCAUCUGUGGCAACCUCUCUACCUAAAGACCCCCAAAUCCUAAUGACAUUUUUGAACAAUAAGUCUCAAUGACUGAAGAUUUUGCCAGUUGGAGUUUCUUGCAAUGGGACGCUGCCCCCGAGGUUUUGAACUUGUCAUCUCCUGUUGUGGGGAACACCUCUUGAAAAGCCGCUAUUAGUUUGCUACCGGGGAAUGACUGACCUAUGGAGGCCUUGUGACUCUUUUGCCUGUACCAAAUUAUUCCUAUUUAGAGACUCAAUGACCUAGCAAGGUGGGAAGGGUCCAACAUGCUCAUUUGUCAAGUAGUAACGGUAUAUUUCAGGUGUACUUCCCACCUCCAUUCUCACAAUGGUCGUUCAGUCAUUCCGUGGGUUGAAUGGAUAUCAUCCAGUUGGCGGCUUACACAAACAGGAUAAAUUGGAUUCACUACCCUAAGGCAGCUCCUCCAAAAUAAGGAGUAGACUUACUUAUCUAAACUGGUCUGGGACUCCUUCAUUGCAUAAGCCAGCCAAGAAGCCACAUUGGAGGCACUGUCAAUCUGUGCCCCUCAACUGAUAUGUAAGUGCAACUUGGACAAUUAACUUGCCUUCUUCCUGAAAACAAUGUGACUUGCACUUUAGGGGUGGUAAUGAGAGACCUGCAAAUGUUUACGGAAACAUCACCAGUAGAUCAUGUAUCCCUCAAGUGAUUGCAAUUAUCUCUUCAAAGUGCAAAUAUUGGAUAUUCAAGAGAACUUCCUGAUGGGAUGACUGACUUAUUACAUAUGUGCAGCUGAUGCAGGCAGUUAUCCCCAAUUAGAGUUAUUCAAUUAGAAAAGGUAAUAUUUCUUCUUGAAUUUAGCUUACACUUUCAAUGAUAUCACCUUGACCCUGGAGAUAUCCAGGUCAGCUUCAACUCAAUGGCCAGGGUUAUUAUGGGUGAUAGAAUUGUCCUAGACUUCCACUUUGCAGGCCAGAGCAGUGUGGGCAAUUGCUAAUACAACUUGCUCUACCCAUAUUAAUGUCUCAAGCCAAGUGAAAAGGUCAGCAGGAUCUUAAGAGGAAAAUCACCUGGCUUUCAAAGGUAAAUCCUAGCAGUUUAUGGGAUUUGUUUAGCUGGUUGGGUCUAGGACCUUAGGGGGCAUGGUUGAGUUUACUGUUACGUUAUUGGUGUCAUCCUAUUGUUUGGAGUCUUCAUUAUCUUUCUUAUCAAAGUGUUACUUUUAAGAUAUCUGAUAAGAAUCUGAUUCAGAUUCUUUGUUCCUUUAUAUGUAACAGAUAUUUCUGUA